rnacentral:rRNA from 1 species
AUUGAACGCUGGCGGCAUGCUUUACACAUGCAAGUCGAACGGUAACAGGCCGCAAGGUGCUGACGAGUGGCGAACGGGUGAGUAAUGCAUCGGAACGUGCCCAGUCGUGGGGGAUAACGCAGCGAAAGCCGCGCUAAUACCGCAUACGAUCUCUGGAUGAAAGCGGGGGACCGAAAGGCCUCGUGCGAUUGGAGCGGCCGAUGUCAGAUUAGGUAGUUGGUGGGGUAAAGGCCCACCAAGCCAACGAUCUGUAGCUGGUCUGAGAGGACGACCAGCCACACUGGGACUGAGACACGGCCCAGACUCCUACGGGAGGCAACAGUGGGGAAUUUUGGACAAUGGGCGCAAGCCUGAUCCAGCAAUGCCGCGUGCAGGAAGAAGGCCUUCGGGUUGUAAACUGCUUUUGUACGGAACGAAACGGUCCGGGUUAAUACCCUGGGCUAAUGACGGUACCGUAAGAAUAAGCACCGGCUAACUACGUGCCAGCCGCCGCCGUAACAC